AUCUAGGAUGCCCCUAUUUUCAGAGAAAUGUUGGAGGGUAUGCAGUGAGUUCACAUGAUAGUUUGCCAAUAACAGAGUUUCUUAUGCUUCAUUGUCCCCUGGCCUGUGACAGAGGUCUCAAACAGCCAAGCCUUCAGGUUAGAAUGGUUACAAUAAUUUUUUGGAAAUUAUUGUGAUUGUGUGGAUCCCUUCUACUCUUCCCCUGUGACUUUCUGCUUCAAAUAACUACCUUAUUGCAAGAAACUUGGCAGAAAGAGUGCUGUAUGACUCAACUUUAUUGUGAAAAGAGUGACUCAAAUGUUUUAUAGUCUGACAGAAGUUUCCGGCCAAGCUGAAAUGUAUGAAUAUACAAGGAGCUAAUUUUUAUUUAUUUUUUAAUCCCGGCAACAACUUUGCAUUGCAAUACAAAUACUUUAAUGCUGAGACGAUGAAUAAGUAAUGCUGCUGACGAAUGCAGAAAUGGUCGAUGGAGGUUAUGGAGUUUUGGCUGUUAGGAAUUGAGUGUUAAGCGUUUGCUUUCAACUGCACACAGUGGUUAUCUGUUACCCUCUCUCCUCCUUCUAAAUGCCCCCCAAUUGGCUUAGGGAAUUCAGAGGAACCCCCAUAACAGCACCCAAAGGGAGGAGAAGGGAUAUUUUUCCCCAUCAGGAAAAGCAUAAAUGCUCGAAGUGCCACAGCAAUCUGUUAGAACAAUUUUGGAUACUUCCCAUAGUUGUGGGUUUAAGACAGCAUCAUAUUCUUCAGAUGCACUAACUCCCUUUGCAUCAGAUACAAACCAUAAUCAACUUUGUUGGACUGGUCAUGUUGUGCAGAUGCCUGAUUAUCAUUUUCCAAAGCAAUUACUCUAUUCCCAGCUUUAAAAUGGAAAGCGUAAUGCUGGUGGUCAACAAAAGAGGUUUAAAGACUCUCUCAAGGCAAAUCUAAAAAAAUGUAGUAUAAACACAGACAACUGGGAAACAGUGGUCUGCGAGCACUCCAGUUGGAGAACAGCCUUUAUCAAAGGUGUCAUGGGCUUUGAAGACGCUCACACUCAGGACGAAAGAGAAAAAUGAGCUAAGAGGAAGGCACACUUGGCAAACUCUCACCAUGAUCAACUCCUGCCUGGAAACCAAUGUCCCCACUGUGGAAGGACGUGUGGAUCCAGAAUCGGCCUUGACAGUCUCUUACGUGUUUAUGGAAGACAAUCUUACUCGGCUACGAGUGACCGGCAAAGAAGAAGAAGAAGAUUCACCCCAAAGAGCUACAGUUCUCUGAGUUGUUUAACAACCCAUCACUCUUCCAAGAUACCAGUAACUCUAACAUGAUGGUGUACAAGUGUACUGGGAAAUGAUAUAUAAAGAGAUGGGGGUGUCUUUUUUUGAAACAACAACAAUAACCACCAUUCCCCCCCCAAACCAGAGACAUUUCUUCUGGGAACCCAGGAGUCAGGAAAAUUAUUUAUAUAUGCCACUACAGCAGUUCAGAUCUUGUUAGCCCCAAAAUGGCGGGUGAGUGAGGUCCUUUAAAAGGUGGGUUGGCAAUUAAAAAUGAUUAAAAAUAUGCAGAGUUGGCAGGUCUAACAAGUAAAAUAAGAGAGUAAGAAGAUCUCUUGCUCUCUAUAAAGAGGAGUGGAAAAGCUUUGUGGAGUAUCUGGAAAAUAAUUAUAAACAAGUGAAAACGCUAGCAGCAUUAAGGUAAAUUCAACAGUAUAAUAUAUAUUAAAGGAAGAAUAAGGGGAGAAAGUGAUCUAAAUGGAUAUAUAAGAAUAUGCAGGGAUGGUGGGAAAAUUAAAGAAACCUUGGAAGAAGGAAGUUGUUGAAUGUCUUUAUUAAAAGAAAGAUAUUAAUGGUGGAGAUGUUUAUUUGAAGGUGAAUGUGAUUUUGGAAAUGGUGAUAAUGAAAAUUAUAAAUAUUGUUUUUUAAAGAAUAGUCAAUAGGUACCAAGAGCAAGGUUUGAUGGGUGUGCUAUCUCUGUGUCUCAUCAUAUCAAAUAAUUACAAGUUGAGUUUUAAUUAACCAGGCCCAAGCCCAGACUUUACCAGUGAAUAGAGGCAUUUUUAUCAGAGUUAUCUUAUUCUUGUGGACUGCAUAACAGUUCAUCUUCAAUAUACUCUACCUUAUGGGAUGUUUCAAGGUACAGGUGAUUAGAUUUAUUACAGUUUUCUCAUUUUAUAAGCUAUUACCACUUUAGGCCCAGGAAAAAAAAUGCAUUUAAAACUAUUUAGUUUAUAGGCAGAUAAAUUAUACAUGUAUUAACUCUAUUUAUUUCUUAAUGUAAAACUAAUGGAAUAAUUGAAUUAUUGAUAAGACAUUUCAAUGUAAUUACAUAAAUUUAUGGCAGACAGAAACACUACUUGCGGCUAUGGGGUGUGAAUGAGCGAGCCUGUGUGUGGUAUCUGGCAAACAAAGGGGAAGAGAAGGCAAAUCUAUUCUGAAAGGCUUUGCUUGCAUCCAGACAUAAUAUGGAUUACUGCUUUUUUUAAAAAAAAAAACUGUAAAGGACAAAGGAGGCAAGGCAAUUCUGUUUGUUUAAUCUGAAUGCAAGCUAAUGCAGCUUUUUCCAGAUUCACCAAGCAGCUGAAGCUUUCAUAAAGUUCGGACAUUUUUGCCAGAGGUGAUGCACCUGUGGACCUCCAGAAAUGUUGGACUUCAACUCCUAUCAACCCUAAACAGCAUCAUCAGUGGCCAAGGAGGACAGUGGCCAGGGACAGCUACUUUAGGAGGACCACAGUUUCCCAUACCCUGAUUUACACAAACGUUCUAAAAGGUCUGUGAAGAUAGGACCCCUUUCCUCAUCUUUACUGCAAAUGUAGUAAAGCUUAUGUUCAGAUUAUGAUUUGUAUCUGGUGCUUCUUCUUCUUUGGCGAUCACUCAUAGCCAAGUAAGAUUGUCUUCCAUGAACACAGUUUUAACAGUGAGUCCGUAAGUGAUGCAGCUCGAACUUUUUCGCCUUGGUCCUAGAUGUCCUAGCCUAGCCACUGCUGCCAUGCCUGCUCCAAAUUAGCUAUGGGUCAAGUUAGUCUGAUCACAUGUCUAGGCAUCAGCUUCCCCAAAGAAUCCAUGUCCCACUGGCAUCACCAUUUGGGGAGUAACCCAUCCCAUGGUGUUACUCACAGUCUCUCUCUCUCUCUCUCUCUCUCUCUCUCUCUCUCCUGCAUCAACUUCCUACAGGGCUUCCAGAGGCAGUGGGUGGGGUAGCUGGAAACCCCCCUCUGUAAGGCAGUGUUACUAUAUAAGGGCCAUUGGAAUAAGGGAAGACCUGGAUGUAGAUCAUAGAAUAAUAUAUUGUAGAGUUGGAAGGGUCUAUGAGGACCAUCUAGUCCAACCCCCUGCAAUGCAGGACUCUUUCAACCAAUGUGGGGCUCAAACCCCUGACCUUGAGAUUAAGAGUCUCAUGCUCUACCGAGUGAGCUAUCCCUCAAGGGAAAGGAGGGAAACAGCUCUACCAAGCCCAAUUAUGAUCCCUCUGUUCUUCCCAUGCUGUUUCCAGAGGAAGUUUUAGGCAGCCAAUAUGGAGCAGAUCAAAAAGUUUGACCAAACAAAUACAGCUAAUUUCCAUCACAAUGAGUCAUUAAGUUCUUGAAACUACUGAGCAAUAUUAUUCCAGAAUCCAGACACCAUGUAUAGAAUCUUUGAAGCCAAGGUGUGCACCUGAGACUUGGCUGACCUGGGUUAAGCCCCAGUCACUCACCAGGCCAUUAUAAUUCCAAAAAAGAAAACAUUAUGGAUUAGAUGCUUCCAAUUAUUCCUCUGCUUGCUGGGUACAUAUCGUUGUUUUCAUUCCUAUGAUUAUGACAGGUCAGUAGCGACAGAACCCGGAGGAGCAGUCCUUCUGAUAGGAGGACAGCGCUUGAUUAAAAAGUUGCAGCCACAUCAUUUUCUGCAGAGAGCAAAGAGAAAUAGAGAGAACUGGGCACGAUUCCAGGAUGGGAGGACUGGUUAAAAAGCCAGAGGUAUCCAGAAUAUUUUCACAGUAUAGCAGCAUCCUUCCUCACAUGUUCCUCCUCGCUAAGAAUAAAUUUUCUUUUUUUUUAGACUGCUGUGCCAAAGAAAUGAAUAGCUGGCCUAAUUUGACAGGCAUCGCAAAGGAAAGAGGCCCGGCAUGUGAGGAGAUCCAAUGUAUAAUGCAUGUUUGAUUUAUUGCCCUUCUGCCCUCUUCUGUGUUGCGGCUCACUUAAUUUGCUUGGUUUGGUUCGUUUGGUGUGACAUGCAUGUGGGAAGAACGGUGCAAAAGGCAACUGAAGGGAUUGUGGAGAUGGAUCUGACGGAGCAGAAUGCAACGGCCAUUUUGUUGAGUGGAGCACCUGGGCAUGCACAUAUCUCACCUGUGAUGAGGGAACUGCUCUCUGGUUAGCUACCUGGCCAUGUUAAGCCAUGCCUUGUUUCUAAUUUAUAAAGCCCUAAACAACUCAAGAGCAGAUUACCUGAAGGACCACCUGCCCUCAUAUAGUCCUGUAAGGUAACAUAGAUCAUCUGGGGAAAAUUCUACUCAUGGCACAGUACCCUAUGAAAUACCACAAGGCUCAAAGACAGACAUUUACUGCCAUUGCCCCUUCUCUCUGCCAUACGCAAAGCAUCAUCCAUCAGCUGCUUCAGGUGGAUAGCUGUCAGGGACUGGGCAGAGGAGGAAUGGUGGAGACCACCUCCCCAGCUUGACCCAUCCUGGGAGGAGGAAGAGGAAGACAGUUUAGAUUUGCAACAGGGAUUUGAGGGAGAUCACAGCUCAGAUGAGAGGAAAAGUUGGGAAAUAAUGGGAGAGGAGGAGGAGGAAGCACCAGGGGGGAUCACAGCUGACAGACACAGUGUCUUAGAAAGCAUCCCAGACCCCCUCUCCCAAAACUUGGUGAGCCUUAAAAGUAGGAGAGCAAAGAGCUUGAAGACAUAGGGCACUUAGCAGUACCUGUAGGAGAGAUGAUGAGAUUGACGAAUGAGGAAGUGGGAGAGAUGGGGUUUGGAGAUUCAUUCAGGACAACACCAAUAUCCAAGAGGCUGGGUUCUACAGCCUCUCUCUGUAAAUACUGAAUAAAAAGCGGAUGGUAAGAAACCUUUCCUUAUCUUUGUAUGUUCCUGUAAUGGUUGGGUCUCUCCCACAGAAGCGAGACAACUCUGGCAGCAAUUAACUCAGGUUUAUUGCUCAAAACACACAAAUCACUCUGGAGCUCAGUCACUCAGCGUCUGCUUCCAAAUUAGCUGUUGCCGAGUCUGAGUUCCAUCCCUUCCUCUUUCCACAUUUAAAAACCCCCUUCGCUUCCUUCCCUGUUCACGCCUCUCGAUAAUUCUUGCUCGCCUGCGCAUUAUGGGAUGGGCUAUUUUCAGUGGCCCUCCCUCUGUCGGAGCUUAAACUGUCAGUCUGUGUCUUCCCCCUUGAACUCCCCCCUUCCUUCUCCUUGUUCUCGGAGCUUAGGCUUCUACUGCAACUCGGCUGCUCCUCCCUCGUUCCACAUUCCUGCCUAAUUACCUCCUCCUGUCUCUCCAAGCUUUCCCCAAUGGGAUGCAGCUGACAGUUCCUGGGCAACCGGCUGGGAGUCGCUGGCAGCAGCCUGACAAUAGCUCAGUUGGUUAGAGUGUGGUGCUGAUAAUGCCAAGGUUGCAGGUUCAGUCCUCGUAUCGGACAGCUGCAUAUUCUUGCACUGCAGGGAGUUGGACUAGGUAACACUCAGGGUGCUUACAAUUCUAUGAUUCUAUGUCUUCUAAAGACAUAGGGCCAUAUCCAACACUAGCACAGCAGACAUCUGCUUGCACAAUGCUUUUUCAUCUCCUCUCCCACGCAGUCCCCACUCCCAACCCAUGCACCCUCAAAAUCGGUUGGAGGACCCUCCAGAGCAGAUUUUGAGGGCGUGCAGAGAGAGAGGGAGAGAAAGCCCCAUUGCAUGAGUUGAACUUUAUGCACAGCAUUGUCGUCGUCCCCAGGCUUUCCAUGAC
rnacentral:lncRNA from 1 species